CUACGGGUGGCAGCAGUGGGGAAUAUUGCACAAUGGGCGCAAGCCUGAUGCAGCCAUGCCGCGUGUGUGAAGAAGGCCUUCGGGUUGUAAAGCACUUUCAGUAGGGAGGAAGGUGGUAGUGUUAAUAGCGCUAUCAUUUGACGUUACCUACAGAAGAAGCACCGGCUAACUCCGUGCCAGCAGCCGCGGUAAUACGGAGGGUGCGAGCGUUAAUCGGAAUUACUGGGCGUAAAGCGCAUGCAGGUGGUUUGUUAAGUCAGAUGUGAAAGCCCCGGGCUCAACCUGGGAAUUGCAUUUGAAACUGGCAAACUAGAGUACUGUAGAGGGGGGUAGAAUUCCAGGUGUAGCGGUGAAAUGCGUAGAGAUCUGGAGGAAUACCGGUGGCGAAGGCGGCCCCCUGGACGAAGACUGACGCUCAGGUGCGAAAGCGUGGGGAGCAAACAGGAUUAGAUACCCCAGUAGUC
rnacentral:rRNA from 1 species